UCAUACAGAGAUUAGCAUGAUCCCUGUGCAAGGAUGACACACAAAUGCAUGCAUUCCAGAUUUUU
rnacentral:snRNA from 1 species